rnacentral:rRNA from 1 species
GACGAACCGUGCAAACGUUAUUCGGAAUCACUGGGCAUAAAGGGUGCGUAGGUGGCUUGUUAAGUUGAAGGUGAAAUCUCGGGGCUCAACUCCGAAACUGCCUUCAAUACUGGCGAGCUCGAGGACUGUAGAGGAGAAUGGAAUUCACGGUGUAGCAGUGAAAUGCGUAGAUAUCGUGAGGAAGACCAGUGGCGAAAGCGAUUCUCUGGGCAGUUCCUGACACUGAGGCACGAAGGCCAGGGGAGCAAACGGG